rnacentral:rRNA from 1 species
GCCAGGGAACUACGAGCUAAGCUUAAAACCCAAAGGAUUUGACGGUGCCCAUAUCCAACUAGAGGAGCCUGUCUAGUAAUCGAUGAUCCCCGCUUAACCUCACCACUUCUAGCCCCUCAGCCUGUAUAUUUCCGUCGUAAGCCUACCGCAUGAGCGACACUCAGUAGGUUUAAUGACCAAAUAAACCGUCAAUACGUCAGGUCAAAAUGCAGCAAAUGAAGUGGGAUAAAGAUUGGCUACACUUUUUAAAAUAAAAGAAACGGAAGACACUAAUGAAAUUUUGUCAGAAGGCGGAUUUAGCAGUAAAAAGAAUUCAUAACAUUCGCUUGAACUUGGCACUGGGGUGUGU